rnacentral:tRNA from 1 species
GCGAGAGUGGCGGAAUUGGCAGACGCGCUAGAUUUAGGAUCUAGUCCUUAACGGGGUGGGGGUUCAAAUCCCCCCUUUCGCA